rnacentral:rRNA from 1 species
GUCGAGAAUAAUUCACAAUGGGGGAAACCCUGAUGGUGCAACGCCGCGUGGAGGAUGAAGGUCUUCGGAUUGUAAACUCCUGUCAUCCGGGAGCAAGACCUGGGCGUGAAUAGCGCACAGGGUUGAUAGUACCCGAAGAGGAAGGGACGGCUAACUUCGUGCCAGCAGCCGCGGUAAUACGAAGGUCCCAAGCGUUGUUCGGAAUCACUGGGCGUAAAGGGAGCGUAGGCGGCGUGGUAAGUCAGAGGUGAAAUCCCGGGGCUCAACCCCGGAACUGCAUCCGAUACUGCCAUGCUUGAGGGUUGGAGAGGUAGCUGGAAUUCUCGGUGUAGCAGUGAAAUGCGUGGAUAUCGAGAGGAACACUCGUGGCGAAGGCGAGCUACUGGACAACAUCUGACGCUGAGGCUCGAAGGCCAGGGGAGCAAAAGGGAUUAGAAACCCGGGUAGUCC